rnacentral:lncRNA from 1 species
CAGGCCAUGUGCACAGGGGGCAUUGAGAAAUAUCUCUGGACCAAUCACCUAAAAGAUGUGACUCUCCUCACUUGCCUGGACUCUGCUCAGAAUAGAGAUUUCGACACAUCAGUGGGUUCAACACCUAGGUGAUGCGGCUCUUCCUUCUUUUCUGGGCUCUUCCAUCAGAGAAGAUUGUGACAUUUUCUGAGCCCAGCACUCAAGUGAGGUGACUUGUCUCCCUGGACUCUCCCCACAGACAGCAUUGUGAAAUAUCUUUGGGAUCAUCACCUAGGUUACUGGGAUCUCAAUGUAGAUGUUAUGUCCAGACAGAGGCUGCUGUGAGCUGAAUCGUCUGCUUCCCAAAAUUCCUAUGUUGACACCUUAACCCCCAGCACCUAAGAAUGUGACUAUAUUUGGAGAUAGCAUCAUCACAGAGUCUCAGGGAUGUCUUUAUCAGCAGUAUGAAAAUGAACCAAUUCAUCCCACUUCACUGUUUGAAGAAAAACUGCUGGCUCUAUGGGGUCUUCAAUUUACUGAAUGAUUCCUAGAUGCCUGGCCCUAAUUCACUCAAGAGUCAAGAAAGGUGCCACCUUAUGGUGCUCACUGGGCGGUUGUGGAUGUCUAACCUCAGUGCUAGUCACACAGAACCUGAAGCCAGGCUGGCUGCUCCUGUAAAUGGCAUGGAAUCCCAGGGAAUAUCCUGCAUUCUCAGUGUCCAGCUGUCUGAUGCCACAGUUGUUUAUGAUGAUCGAGGACAACUACGUUUUUCUGAGGAGACUUACCACCUCAUGGCUGAGGCAUUCACAAAAAAUAGCUCACGUUAUGUUUUGCUUAUUUGCAAGUCAACAAGAUGAGGUCCCUGAGGAUGUCUAACUGAUUCUGUCCACUCGGGAAUGUUUCGGACUUGGUCUUCCUUUUAAUUUACUUUAUAAAUCAUUUUGUAAUUUUUAUCUCCUACUCAUUCUGUAACAGGUAACACAACUGACCAGAAGAAAAACAGCCUAGAUCCUGAGCAUUCAGCCUGUGUCUUCACACAACAAACACCACCUGAGUCCCAUCAAAGCCUGUGUUGUUUCCCAACAUCCACCAUUGAGACAUAUUCCAGAGCAGCCUCUCAAAAUCACCUAAACAAGAUGGAACAAGAAGGUGGAGCCAGACGUACAGGGCGGAACAUGAAAGUGGACCAGGAGCGUGACCGCUGAAGCACAGCACCACAGGAAGAGGUUUAGGCCUCUGGAUGACUGCGGGCGGGCCUGACUCAUGUCAGGCCUUCCACAAGAAGUGGUGGAGCAGAGUCUUCCCCAACUCUCCCAGGGAAAGGGAGACUCCCUUUGCCGGUCUGCUAAGUAACCGGUGCCUUCCCAGGCACUGGCGUUACCGCUAGACCAAGGAGCCCUCUAGUGGCCAUGUCUGGGCAUAACUGAGGGCUCACACUCUUCUGGUCACUUAUCACCCUUCAGCUCCUAUCUCUGUAUGGCCUGGUCUUUCCUAGGUUAUAAUUGUAGAACGGACAUUAUUAUAAUAUUGGAAUAAAGAGUAAUGCUACAAA